GUAGACGCUAUACUCUAAGAUUAACCCAUGCAUGUUUAUUGAAUAUAAAGAAAAGACGAACAGCUCAGUAACUCUUAUUUGAUUUGAUGUAUUAGGAUUCUAACUAUGUUAAAUUAUAGGUAACAAUAAUACAAUAAGAAUAAGAUCUAUCAGUUAGUUGUUAAGGUAAUGGCUUAACAAGACUAUGACGGAUAACGGUAUUACUUUGUAAUAUUCCGGAGAAGGAGCCUGAGAGAUUGCUACUAAGUCUAAGGAUUGCAGCAGGGGCGAAACUUGACCUAUGAUAUUAUAUUGAGGCAGUUAUGAGUAGUAUUUUAUAAUUAUUGUAGUAUUGUAAGUACAUAUUACAAGAUAAAUCGGAGGGCAAAUCGAGUGCCAGCAGCCGCGGUAAUACUUGUUCCGAUAGUGUGUAUGAUGAUUGAUGCAGUUAAAAAGUCUGUAGUUUAUUUAUAAUAAGCAUUGUAAGGUAUACUGUAUGGUUAGGAGAGAGAUGAAAUGUGAUAACCCUAACUGGAUGAACAGAAGCGAAAGCUGUAUACUUAAAUGUAUUAUUAGAACAAGGACGUAAGCUAGAGGAUCGAAGAUGAUUAGAUACCAUUGUAGUUCUAGCAGUAAACUAUGUUGAAUCAUAGAUAUAUUUUGAUAUAUAUUUAUGUAGAGAAAUUAAGAUUAUAUUGACUCUGGGGAUAGUAUGAUCGCAAGAUUGAAAAUUAAAGAAAUUGACGGAAGAAUACCACAAGGAGUGGAUUGUGCGGCUUAAUUUGACUCAACGCGGGGUAAUUUACCAGGUAUAACAUGGUAUAAUAUUUUAUCAUGAUAGUGGUGCAUGGCCGUUUCCAAUGGAUGCUGUGAAGUAAUGAUUAAUUUCAACAAGAUGUGAGACCCUCAUUUAGACAGAUGUAGUGAUACAUAUGAAGGAGAGGAUUAAAACAGGUCCGUUAUGCCCUAAGAUAAUCUGGGUUGCACGCGCAAUACAAUAAUAUUUGAUAUUAUAAGGGAUAAUAUAAUGUAAGAUAUAUUUGAACAUGGAAUUGCUAGUAAAUUUUAUUUAAUAAGUAGAAUUGAAUGAGUCCCUGUUCUUUGUACACACCGCCCGUCGCUAUCUAAGAUGGUAUUAUCUAUGAACAAAUUUAUAAAGUGAAUAGAUAGUACUAGAUCUGAUAU
rnacentral:rRNA from 1 species